ACUCCUACGGGAGGCAGCAGUGAGGAAUAUUGGACAAUGGGCGAAAGCCUGAUCCAGCCAUGCCGCGUGCAGGAAGACUGCCCUAUGGGUUGUAAACUGCUUUUGUACGGGAAGAAACCCACCUACGUGUAGGUGGCUGACGGUACCGUAAGAAUAAGCAUCGGCUAACUCCGUGCCAGCAGCCGCGGUAAUACGGGGGUGCAAGCGUAAUCGGAGUUAUUGGGCGUAAAGGGUGCGUAGGUUGUUAUUUAAGUCAUGUGGGAAAUACCUGGGCUCAACCUGGGAAUGACGGAUGAUACUGAAUGACUAGAGUAUAGUAGAGGGUAGUGGAAUUUCCGGUGUAGCGGUGAAAUGCGUAGAGAUCGGAAGGAACACCAGUGGCGAAGGCGGCUACCUGGACUAAUACUGACACUGAGGCACGAAAGCGUGGGUAGCAAACAGGAUUAGAUACCCUGGUAGGUC
rnacentral:rRNA from 1 species